UUGACGGGACCCGCACAAGCGGUGGAUGAUGUGGUUUAAUUCGAUGCAACGCGAAAACCUUACCCACCUUUGACAUGGCAGGAAUCCUAAAGAGAUUUGGGAGUGCUCGAAAGAGAACCUGCACACAGGUGCUGCAUGGCUGUCGUCAGCUCGUGUCGUGAGAUGUUGGGUUAAGUCCCGCAACGAGCGCAACCCUUGCCAUUAGUUGCUACGAAAGGGCACUCUAAUGGGACUGCCGGUGACAAACCGGAGGAAGGUGGGGAUGACGUCAAGUCCUCAUGGCCCUUAUAGGUGGGGCUACACACGUCAUACAAUGGCCGGUACAGAGGGUAGCCAACCCGCGAGGGGGAGCCAAUCCCACAAAGCCGGUCGUAGUCCGGAUCGCAGUCUGCAACUCGACUGCGUGAAGUCGGAAUCGCUAGUAAUCGCGGAUCAGCAUGUCGCGGUGAAUACGUUCCCGGGUCUU
rnacentral:rRNA from 1 species